rnacentral:lncRNA from 1 species
CAGAGGAUUUCCUUUCCCUCUGACUGUUCACUGGCUUUGUAGUCAUUCCUUAUUAUUGAAGAAUCUGAUGUUAAAUAUUGCAGAGAGGAGAAUAUUUUGAGCGAUUUAGUGAUUGAAACUGAACCCAGGCCACUGCUCAUAAUCAGCAUAUACUCUACCACUAGGUUAUAUCCCCAGACCCUGAAAAGAAAAAAAUACCAAAUUUAAUAGGAAAACUCAUAUGGUUUCCUAUGUGCCUUUCUAAAACUCUGUGAAACACCUGAUGCAGUGCACAAUAUGCAUUUCCAUUAAAGUCUUUCAGACUUCACACUGGAAAGGGAAAGAAGUCGGGAGCCCCAGGGAAGGUGAGCACUGAAGCAAUGGGGUCCAGGCUUUUCCAGAUGCAACAGCUGGACCAGUUGCAGAUGAGACCAGGACCUCUGUCCAGGGACCUCAAAACCUCAGGUGCCUUGGGGGAAGGGGGCACUAGGUCCACACCCAGCAGUUACCUAAGCAACAGAGAGAGGUACGCUCCUCAGAGGCUUCAAGGAAGUGACAGAUAUUUUAAAGAAUAAAAAGACCCGAAUGGCAGCUGGAGAGGCUCACAUUUCUGGAUGUCUCUGUAGUAAGGACUGCCAGGAGUCCUGCUGAGCCCUGGAGAGGGGAAAUGAUGUCACAAGAGAGGAACUGAGGAAGACCAUGGAGAAAAAGAGCACAACUGAGCAAGGAGGCUGGAAAGAGAAGGGCUAAGAACACCUUGGGGUUGACAUCUGCACAAGCAAACAGGAACUAUUAGAAAAGCAGGAUGCAUUUUGGAAGAUCAUGACUGUUGCUCUGUGGAAACGGAGGUAGGUAGAGUGGUUUACAAGCUGAGGGGCAAUUUUCAGCUUAGUCAUACUCAGCACUGAGAGCCUAAUUUGGGAGCAGAGAUGUUUUGCUGAGCGUGGCCAUUGUAAUUUUAGAUUUAAUGAUAUGCUGUGAUAACUGUGUCUGAUCGUCAUACCUAGAGCAACCCAGAGAGAAUGAAACUGAACAAGAAGGAUAUUUACUCUUCAUGUCCUGGCUUCUCACUAUCUCUCCCUACCAUCUGUACAAUAUCCACCAGGAGCCCAUGGAGGAUGAAGCAGUCUGCAUUGUAGGGGGACCCUCAUGCCAGUGAAUAAGCAAAAAAAAAAAAAAAACAGAGCUAACCAAGGGCUCCUGCAGCCUCUGCUGAGCAGCUACUUACAGUCAACAGGCAAAGGCAUCAGAGAGUUGAGACUGGCAAAGAAACACAGGGCAAGGGGCUGCAGCACAGCUGAGCAAGAACGUUUAAUCCAAAACUGAAUAAGCCAAGUGGGACUGGGAUGAAACUCAUUAAAACAUGGAGGUUACAGAAAAAUGAAUCACAGACUUUUUAGCCUGUUACCUAAUACAGGUGUAAGAACAGAACUGAAUCUGUAGCCAAAGUUGUAUUAAAACAAAAUCUCAUGUAAGCUGUGCUUCAGAUGUUGCAUGUCAUGCCAAAUGUGGUCAGAAGAAACCUGACCUCUCAGCUGAAGAGUUCUAUCAGAGCCGUGGUCCAAAGACCAUCCUCUUGGAUGUAUUCUUCAGGCACCUGUUGGGUUCAGAAAGAGAAGCUACCCAGCUGCCAACAUCACUGGUGGUUCCAGGCAGCCACACACACGGGCCCCCACAUCCUAAAGCACAUAUUUUGGCAGGAAGUCAGCACAGCCUCCCUCCCAGUCCCUGUGGGAUGCACAGGUUGAUGGGAAGCUGCGUAAGGGAUCCCAGUGGCCAGGGGUUUCCUAAGUGUGAUUCCUGAUCAUCAAUGUCACUGGUCCCUGUCCCCUGGAAACUUAGACUUGCACCCCAGUUGGCCCUGGGCUGGCCCCAGAUUGCCCCUCCUAAUCUUUUAACGCUCCCCACUGGUCACAACGGCAAGUUGUAUAAGCAAAAUCCCCAUCUUCCCAUGACUUUUAAUGUCCGCUUCAACGAAUAGUAAGUUUCCUUAUCCAUCUACCCUUUUAAUCUAUGCUUUAUCCUGUGCUAUUGAUCCACUGGCCACUUGCUGUUUUAGUUAUAGUAGUAGAUAGUGUAAUUAAUUACAGCAC